AUUGAACGCUGGCGGCAUGCCUAACACAUGCAAGUCGAGCGGUAACAGGCCUCUUGCUCCUGGCUUGUGCGGCACGCGUGUGUGAUACGCCUGGGAGUCUGCAUGGUUGUGGGGUAUAACGUCCGAAACUGGGCUCUUAUCCCACGUACGCCCUGGGUGAGAACGUGGGGGCUCUUAGCACUUUUUGCUCUCACAUCAUCCUAGGUCCGAUUAGCUAGUUGGUGGGGUAAAGGCCUACCAAGGCGACGAUCCGUAGCUGGUCUGAGAGGAUGAUCAGUCACACUGGAACUGAGACACGGUCCAGACUCCUACGGGAGGCAGCAGUGGGGAAUUUUGGACAAUGGGCGAAAGCCCGAUCCAGCAAUGCCGCGUGUGGGAAGAAGGUCUUCGGAUUGUAAAGCGCUUUAAGAUGGGAGGAAGAGGAUUAGGUUAAUACCUGGGUGUGUUGACGGUACCGAAAGAAUAAGCACCGGCUAACUACGUG
rnacentral:rRNA from 1 species